rnacentral:pre_miRNA from 1 species
AUAGUACUCCCUCCGUUCGGAAUUACUUGUCUCGAAAAUGGAUGUAUCUAGAACUAAAAUACGUCUAGAUACAUCCAUUUCUGCGACAAGUAAUUCUGAACGGAGGGAGUACAUA